rnacentral:rRNA from 1 species
GAGAGUCGAGCCGGUGCUCGAAUCAACUCGGUAAUGAUCCUUCCGUAGGUGAACCUGCGGAAGGAUCAUUA